rnacentral:rRNA from 1 species
UACGGAGGAUGCGAGCGUUAUCCGGAUUUAUUGGGUUUAAAGGGUGCGUAGGCGGCUUUUUAAGUCAGCGGUGAAAUUUUGCAGCUUAACUGUAACAGUGCAGUUGAUACUGGGGAGCUAGGAUUUGGUUGCUGUGGGUGGAAUGUGUGGUGUAGCGGUGAAAUGCUUAGAGAUCACACAGAAUAUCGAUUGCGAAGGCAGCUCACAAAGCCAAGAUUGACGCUGAGGCACGAAAGUGUGGGGAUCAAACAGGA